rnacentral:lncRNA from 1 species
AGAAAAAGAAAAAAAGACAUGCCUGGUACAGAGUAGUUACAUAAUAACUAUUUGUGGAAAAUAUAAGUUACUCUAUUUUCUCUGUAUUUAAAAUAUUUCGUAAUACAUUUAAUUAAAACUAUAGUUUUAUUUUAAAAACUCAAAUAAUUUAUAAACAUGUACAGUAAAAAAGUCUUCUUACCCUUCUCCAGGGAUAACAUUUUAAUGUGUAUUUUCCAGACACUUUUAAAAUAUUGUCUACACAGGAUACUACGAUUAUUUUAUAGUUUGUUUUCAGCACAGCAGCUUAUUUGUAAAAUUAUGGGAAAAAAAACAUUUUUGAGACCCAGAGUCUGUCAUUCUCAAUUCAGUCCAUUUUCAAAGAUGUGACAAAUCUACCUUUACAUUCAUGACCACAACCUUCAAAAGUGCGCCUCUGGUACUGCCAGGCAAACACAUAUGGUUUCCCUAAUCCAUUCACUCCUCCUCUGCUAGAAGACUUAUUUAGUAGUCUUUUUUUAUUUCAAUUUCUACUACCUCGAUCUUAGCUGAUGAUCGUCCUUUCUAUUUCACUAAGCAAGAAGAAAUCAGGAGACAGCCUGCACAAGUUCUCAUCACCACAUCUACCAGCCUCCUGAAUCUGUACCCAUAUAUCCAUUAUCCUGUCUAAAGUGAACACCUCCAUAUAUGCUGCUAUUUUCUACUCAAGGACACUGCUUUAGCAGUUCUCCUUGCUCUCCUACAUCAUCAAUUUUUCCUCUUGAUAAUAGGCUAAGAAGUCAGGAACAGAAAGACAAAUAGCAUGAUUGAUCUCACUUAUAUGUGGAAUCUAAAAGUUGAACUUACAGAAGCAGACAGUAGAAUGAUGGUUGCCAGGGGUUGAAGAGUGGAGGGGAAGGGAAAAUGAGGACAUGUUGGUCAAAGGGCACAAAGUUUCAGUUCAAUGGAAUGAAUAAAUUCUGAAAAUCUAUUGUACAGCAUGGAGAAUACAGUUACUAAUAAUGUAUACUUGUAAUUUGCUAAGAGAUCAGAUCUUAACUGUUCUCUACAAAAAAAUGAUGACUGUGUGAGGUGACUGAUAUGUUAAGUAGCUUGAUUUUAUGUCAAAAUAUAGGCUGGGUGUGGUGGCUCACACCUGUAAUCCCAGCACU